AUCCAGCUGAGGAGUCCCGAAUAGGUGGAAACGCGCGUCGUGGAU
rnacentral:hammerhead_ribozyme from 1 species